GGGAUCCUCAGAGGACAAGGGAGGGCUGGACACAGAGGCAAGGAUCCACACAGAAAGGAGGUGAGGAGGUGGUGGCAGGGACGGCUUCUACUAGCCAAGGAUGGCCUGUGGCCACCAGUUAGGAGCUGAGGGGAGCCUGGGAUAGAAGGAACCAGCCCUGCCCUCAGCUGGAUCUCAGACUCCUGGCCUCCAGAGCAGAGAGAGAGUAAUCUGUUUUUUCAUGCCCUCCCAGUCUGUGCUGGUCCUUUCCGGCAGCUCCAGGGAACUAACCUCACGCGUCCCCUGUGCCCCCCAAGCACAGCUAAGCAGGACUCCUAAGCUAAACAGCUGCUGAAAUAGGUUUCAGUUUCUGCUCUGCAUUUCUUCAGGGAGGGAGAGGGGCUUGCAUUCCUUCAUUCCUUGAGACAGAGGCUUGGGAGCCCCAUCUGCCUUUUGGAGUCUAUUCAAAGGCAGCUCCAGGACCCCUUUGUGACUCACCCCACGAGGCAGGGUCCCCUAGCUCAGCACUUCAUGCUGCCUGUCAUGCUGGCUGGAGCGUCAUCCCAUACUCCCACAUCUGUCCUUCCUGGUGGACAGAGAGCUCCAGGGACAGGGAACAGAGCUGGCCAGGGGGACACAGAUGCCAUUCCCACCAGCUCUCCACUGCUGCUUCCUGCAGGAUGGGAGCACGGAAACACUCCUUAAGGUUCACCCUGAGAGCCACAAUACAGAGAUGGAGGGCAGACCGAGGAUUCUCCCUGGUUUGCAAGGCCCAGAAACAUCCCGACAAACAGGCACAGAGGGAGGCAUUUCUCCUAAAACCCCUGGCUCAGCAGCAGCUCCAUUCCGGUCAGAACAGCUUCGGAGUCAGACUUGAAUUCAGGUCGUGGCUGCCCCACCGUGCAUGGGGACUCUGGUGCCUCACUCACAGACGUCUUGAUGGUUGCCCAUGGCAGUCCAAGACAAUUCCACUGUGGGUGUUUCUGGACCUCUGCUAUGAAGAUGCUAUAUCCCAAGAAUGUACUGGAAAUAUCCAAGAGACAAAGGUCCCAGAGGAACAAAUGGACUUUGAAGUCACACAAAUCUACAUCCAAGCCAAACUCUGAGUGUAAAGUGGAAUAAGUACACUCUUCCUUGCCUCUCUCACUGCAUGUAGCUAUAAACCCUGCACAGAAUAUGUGGAGAAGCUCUGUGAGGGCUCUGAAGCACAAACAUCAGGAAGAUGGAAGAAGAUCAGAAGUCAAAGUAUCAUAGAACUUGUGAUGAGUUUACCAUUUUUUAUUCCUCUGGUAUCUUCUAGUCUAGACCCAUUCCAGCCCAGAAGUGAGCAGUGACAAGGACAGAAGCUCCAGAAGUUCUCUAGCUCUGUUUGGAGGAGUGGGUCUCUAACACUCAAGAAAAUAGAGGAAAUGUACCAUUUUUUUCUUUCUUCCAGUCUCAUACCCCAAAUUCCAAGCAUUCCCACUGUGGCAACAGCAAUAGCAGCAUCAGUGAGAACCCAAAGGAGCCUAAAAUCCUGCAGGAGAAUCUUCUCCAAUUAGGGAAGCUGUGGUCUUAAAACAGUGGAAUAGAUCCCACUGCUUUUAUUAUUUCUUUGUCUUCUCACAAUUUAGCCCAAAAUUUGUUGUAGGAAGUCCAUGCCUGGGAAGAAUAAAUAAAGCCCUAAAUUUAUGGCCA
ensembl:lncRNA